CCAAGACAGCAGCAGUUAUAAAUCAUAAAUAACUAGAAAUUCAAAAUUAUGUUUCUAAAUAUUAUAUGUACCACAACUAACAUAACUUAAAACAAUUAUCACAAAUCUGUACAUAGUACAGACUUCAAACAACACAGUCACAUAAUAGUACAUAUACAUGUCUACACAUGGGGGAUCAACAUAAAAGAGACCCCCGUGCAUGUCUAGGUAUACACAAUAAGUAACUUAACAUUACAUGUAUAUGUCUCGGUAUACACAAUAAGUAACUUAACAGAGGGGAUGAACAGGAGUAAGGGAACAUGGGAAUGAGGGGGCUGGAAGCCAGAGUCAGGGGGAAGGGAAGGGGGAGUCAGGGGGCAGGAAGCGGUGGCAAAGGGGAGUAAAAAAAAGGGAUAUGCUAGAAAAAAAGUUUUGACCGAUUUUCAUCUUGGGAGUAAAGAGGAGGGAAGUGGGAGUAUGGGGAGGGAAGUAAGAGUUAGGGGGGUAGGGAAAGUGGGAAUCAGGGUCCCCUCUGUCUAAUCCAACUUAACAGUACAUGUACAUGUCUACACAGGAGGACUCAACAUACAAGAGACCCAUGUUCACAUCUAGGUAUACACAAAUAAAUAAGGUUUCAAACCAGCUGAGUUCUCAAAACUAAAACAUAAAACAUAAAAAUACUGUUGAAAAUGGAUUCUGUUCUACAUUUUAUACCUUAAAAGAUAAUGUCACUUCCUUUUUUUGCCAUUUAUGUGUUUCUAUUGGUCAAAAUUCUUUUUGAAAUUACCAUUUAUGGGAUUGUGCAGGAUUAGGUCAAUAUUUGGUUCUAAAGAAGAUUUUCUUAUAGCCAUCAAUCCUUUUGUUUCAUAGCAAAAAGCAAGC